rnacentral:rRNA from 1 species
AUUGAACGCUGGCGGCAGGCUUAACACAUGCAAGUCGAGCGAUCUUCUUCGGAAGAGAGCGGCGGACGGGUGAGUAACGCGUGGGUAACCUGCCCUGUACACACGGAUAACAUACCGAAAGGUAUGCUAAUACGAGAUAAUAUGCUUUUAUCGCAUGGUAGAAGUAUCAAAGCUCCGGCGGUACAGGAUGGACCCGCGUCUGAUUAGCUAGUUGGUGAGGUAACGGCUCACCAAGGCGACGAUCAGUAGCCGACCUGAGAGGGUGAUCGGCCACAUUGGAACUGAGACACGGUCCAAACUCCUACGGGAGGCAGCAGUGGGGAAUAUUGCACAAUGGGCGAAAGCCUGAUGCAGCAACGCCGCGUGAGCGAUGAAGGCCUUCGGGUCGUAAAGCUCUGUCCUCAAGGAAGAUAAUGACGGUACUUGAGGAGGAAGCCCCGGCUAACUACGUGCCAGCAGCCGCAGUAA